AGUGAACGCUGGCGGUAGGCCUAACGCAUGCAAGUCGAACGGCAGCACAGUAAGAGCUUGCUCUUACGGGUGGCGAGUGGCGGACGGGUGAGGAAUACAUCGGAAUCUACUUUUUCGUGGGGGAUAACGGAGGGAAACUUACGCUAAUACCGCAUACGACCUACGGGUGAAAGCAGUGGAUCUUCGGACCUUGCGCGAUUGAUUGAGCCGAUGUCGGAUUAGCUAGUUGGCGAGGUAAAGGCCCACCAAGGCGACGAUCCGUAGCUGGUCUGAGAGGAUGAUCAGCCACACUGGAACUGAGACACGGUCCAGACUCCUACGGGAGGCAGCAGUGGGGAAUAUUGGACAAUGGGCGAAAGCCUGAUCCAGCCAUACCGCGUGAGUGAAGAAGGCCUUCGGGUUGUAAAGCCCUUUUGUUGGGAAAGAAAAGCAGCAGGUUAAUCCACCGCUGUUCUGACGGUACCCAAAGAAUAAGCACCGGCUAACUUCGUG
rnacentral:rRNA from 1 species